rnacentral:lncRNA from 1 species
CUUCGAUGUUCUAAGUGCUUUUAUCAUUUAGUUCACUUUGGCUAUUCUCAAAAAAUUAAAUUUAUCUUAAUCUUUAUUUUUUUCAAUAAAAAUUAUAGCAUACAAUAAUAUACAGAUUAAACGGAUUUGGUCGGAUCGAGUCGAUUAAACAGGUCAUUCAUCUAAUAAACAGAUUAAAUGAUAAAUAAGUUAACAAAGUUGGGUCAGAUCGAUUAAAUAGAUUAACUAUUUAAUAAAUAGAUUAAAGGGUCGAAUCGGAUGACCUGUUUAUUAAAUGGGUUAGAUUCAGAUUUGAAAAUCUGAUCUGUUUAAUAAAUAGGUCGGAUUCAAUUUUGAUAUUUUUUGAUCCGACCUACAUUUGAUCCGAUUCGUUUAUGAUCCACUCAACCCGAUUGCCACC